UUUUUUAGAGAGUUUGAUCCUGGCUCAGGAUGAACGCUGGCGGCGUGCCUAACACAUGCAAGUCGAACGGGGUUAUUU
rnacentral:rRNA from 1 species